CACAGGUAUUGUCUGUAGUGAAUAUGCCUGGAGAGACCCGUCCUCAGGAUUGCUCCGGUUUUAAAACACGAUGUGGUCGAAUUGGUUCUUCAACAGAGACUGAAAAUAUUGCUGCUAUGUCUGAUCUGAAGCCAAAUAUACAGGAGGACAAAGACGUGGAAUCGGUGUCUGACAGCCCAGGUUGUGCGAAGGAACCUUUAUGGAGUUGCACAUUUUCUCAGAAAAACAAUCCAAUACAUACAAUAGGUCUGUCCUCAGAUGAACACCAAAAACCUUUAAAUGGAGUCCAGCCGAAUCCAUUUGUAUACAGCAGUGUUCCUGCUGUUCCCCGUGUAGACAAUUCAUUGCCUUCAGGAGCACUUGUUAAUGGGCCUGGUUCACACCCCACCACAGAGGUACACUCUGUCCUGAACAAAGGCACUGUUUUAUCCAACAAUGUCCUGGAUGCUGCGUGGCAAGUGGAGAAGGACACGAGCGCUGAGGUGUUACCACCACCUAGUGAGCUUCAAUCAGAUGCUUGGAAGAACACAGUGGGGAUCGCUGUAAAAACACUGGCCACACAGCCGGGUGUCAACACGCCGCUGUCUCACUCGGAAGAGAAUGGGUCUAAACUGGCCUAUUCUGCACUGUCAGGUGACGGUGCUGAGCAAAUGAACAUUAGCCAACCUUGGACACAGCAGACAAUAGAAACAGGGACUCAACAGAGUGUUGAGUGGUCAGAAAGCUCCACUGAUGAUUGUGAUGAUGUGGAAGUAAUCAAAUGGGAUUCAACAAGAGAGCACCUCCUGCACAAUGAUGGAGGGCUAGAGACCAGCGGGAUACACCAAAGAGAGAUGCAGCACAAUACACAUGUAAAAAGCAUGGCAGGCUCUCUGGAAAAGGUUAACAACAGCUUAAAUAACACACCCAGACGUUUCUGCAGUGGUAAUGAUGUUGAAAAUGUUGACAUCGCCAACAAAAGCGAUUCUUUGGACACAGAAUGUGCUA
rnacentral:lncRNA from 1 species